AUAGGGGAGCCGAAGGGAAACCGAGUCUUAACUGGGCGUUAAGUUGCAGGGUAUAGACCCGAAACCCGGUGAUCUAGCCAUGGGCAGGUUGAAGGUUGGGUAACACUAACUGGAGGACCGAACCGACUAAUGUUGAAAAAUUAGCGGAUGACCUGUGGCUGGGGGUGAAAGGCCAAUCAAACCGGGAGAUAGCUGGUUCUCCCCGAAAGCUAUUUAGGUAGCGCCUCGUGAAUUCAUCUCCGGGGGUAGAGCACUGUUUCGGCUAGGGGGCCAUCCCGGCUUACCAACCCGAUGCAAACUGCGAAUACCGGAGAAUGUUAUCACGGGAGACACACGGCGGGUGCUAACGUCCGUCGUGAAGAGGGAAACAACCCAGACCGCCAGCUAAGGUCCCAAAGUCAUGGUUAAGUGGGAAACGAUGUGGGAAGGCCCAGACAGCCAGGAUGUUGGCUUAGAAGCAGCCAUCAUUUAAAGAAAGCGUAAUAGCUCACUGGUCGAGUCGGCCUGCGCGGAAGAUGUAACGGGGCUAAACCAUGCACCGAAGCUGCGGCAGCGAC
rnacentral:rRNA from 3 species